AAGUCGUAACAAGGUUUCCGUAGGUGAACCUGCGGAAGGAUCAUUAACACGUAUCCAACGUUAAACCCCCCCGUGAACCUUCAUUGUGCUCCCCCAUUCCGUUAGGACGCGGCAACACCAAACUCGAACAACUGUUAACAAUGGAUAUCUUGGUUCUC
rnacentral:misc_RNA from 1 species